rnacentral:rRNA from 1 species
CCCUUAGAUGUUCUGGGCUGCACGCGCGCUACACUGAUGCGCUCAACGAGUUUACGACCUUGCUUGGAAAGGUUGGGUAAUCUUCUUAAAACGCAUCGUGAUGGGGAUAGAUUAUUGCAAUUAUUAAUCUUCAACGAGGAAUUCCUAGUAAGCGCGAGUCAUCAGCUCGCGUUGAUUACGUCCCUGCCCUUUGUACACACCGCCCGUCGCUACUACCGAUUGGAUGGUUUAGUGAGACCCUCGGAUCGGUCCCGACUCGGGGUGGGCUUCUGCCCCGGUCGUGGUUUCGCCGAGAAGACGGUCAAACUUGACUAUCUAGAGGAAGUAAAAGUCGUAACA